rnacentral:rRNA from 1 species
AGAGUGAACGCUGGCGGUAGGCCUAACACAUGCAAGUCGAACGGCAGCACAGUAGGAGCUUGCUCUUACGGGUGGCGAGUGGCGGACGGGUGAGGAAUACAUCGGAAUCUACCUUUUGGCGGGGGAUAACGUAGGGAAACUUACGCUAAUACCGCAUACGCCCUUCGGGGGAAAGCCGGGGACCAGCAAUGGCCUGGUGCUGAUAGAUGAGCCGAUGUCGGAUUAGCUAGUUGGUGAGGUAAUGGCUCACCAAGGCGACGAUCCGUAGCUGGUCUGAGAGGAUGAUCAGCCACACUGGAACUGAGACACGGUCCAGACUCCUACGGGAGGCAGCAGUGGGAAUAGUAGGACAAGUGGCGCAAGCCUGAUCCAGCCAGUUACCGCGGUGGUAGAAGAAGGCCGUUAGGUUAGUAAACGCCGUUUGUUAGGAA